UGACGGAGCUUCAGCCACACGAAUUCUAUUAAAAGUCCUUAAGGCCCAGAAACCAAAGAUGCUGAGCGUCUUCCAUGGUGGCAUUGGAUAAGGCGACCUUUGGGAAAACAAGCCAGUAUGAAUACAAAGAAGAUGGAAUACAAUCUUUGCUAGGACAUGGCGUGUAAUGCUGACACGAGUAUGAAGCCUAUAAUUUACAACGUCUAAUUAGU